GACGUAGGGUGCGAGCGUUGUCCGGAUUUAUUGGGCGUAAAGAGCUCGUAGGCGGCUUGUCGCGUCGACCGUGAAAACUUGGGGCUCAACCCCAAGCCUGCGGUCGAUACGGGCAGGCUAGAGUUCGGUAGGGGAGACUGGAAUUCCUGGUGUAGCGGUGAAAUGCGCAGAUAUCAGGAAGAACACCCGUGGCGAAAGCGGCUCUCUGGAACGGUACUGACGCUGAGACGCGAAAGCGUGGGGAGCGAACAGG
rnacentral:rRNA from 1 species